rnacentral:rRNA from 1 species
GACGAACGCUGGCGGCGUGCUUAACACAUGCAAGUCGAACGGUAAGGCCCUUGGGGGUACACGAGUGGCGAACGGGUGAGUAACACGUGGGUGAUCUGCCCUGCACUUCGGGAUAAGCCUGGGAAACUGGGUCUAAUACCGGAUAGGACCACUGCCUGCAUGGGGGGUGGUGGAAAGCUUUUGCGGGGUGGGAUGGGCCGGCGGCGUAUCAGCUGGUUGGUGGGGUGAUGGCCGACCAAGGCGACGACGGGUAGCCGGCCUGGGAGGGUGACCGGCCACACUGGGACUGCGAUACGGCCCAGACUCCUACGGGAGGCAGCAGUGGGGAAUAUUGCACAAUGGGCGCAAGCCUGAUGCAGCGGCGCCGCGGGAGGGAUGACGGACUUCGGGUUGUAAACCUCUUUCAGCACCGACGAAGCGCAAGUGACGGUAGGUGCAGAAGAAGGACCGGCCAACUACGUGCCAGCCGCCGCAGUAA